CCUACGGGCGGCAGCAGUGGGGAAUAUUGCACAAUGGGCGCAAGCCUGAUGCAGCCAUGCCGCGUGUGUGAAGAAGGCCUUCGGGUUGUAAAGCACUUUCAGCGGGGAGGAAGGCGUUAAGGUUAAUAACCUUGUCGAUUGACGUUACCCGCAGAAGAAGCACCGGCUAACUCCGUGCCAGCAGCCGCGGUAAUACGGAGGGUGCAAGCGUUAAUCGGAGUUACUGGGCGUAAAGCGCACGCAGGCGGUCUGUCAAGUCGGAUGUGAAAUCCCCGGGCUCAACCUGGGAACUGCAUUCGAAACUGGCAGGCUAGAGUCUUGUAGAGGGGGGUAGAAUUCCAGGUGUAGCGGUGAAAUGCGUAGAGAGCUGGAGGAAUACCGGUGGCGAAGGCGGCCCCCUGGACAAAGACUGACGCUCAGGUGCGAAAGCGUGGGGAGCAAACAGGAUUAGAUACCCUAGUAGUC
rnacentral:rRNA from 1 species